UCUCCUCUCUCUUCCUUGUCUAUCUUCCCAUUGCCCCCUCUCUCUUUCUCCGCUUCCUCUUCCCACUCUACCCCUCUUCUUGUUUCAUCACUUCCCUCAUUCUCCUCCUCUAUCUUUCCCAACUUUUUUUUUUCUUUUCUGUGGUUUCUUAUUUGCAUGCUUGAGCAGCCUUCUCCAUUGAAGAAACCCUAAGUCUAGUAGUUCGGGUUUCUUAUUUUUUGUUCCAAAUGAAACCCUCUUUUCCCCUUAUUUUAGCUCAGUUGAUGAAGUGAAAGACUGCGAAUGGGUUUGUCACUACUUUGAAUCUGGGGUUUUUGAUGACGUUAUUUCCUCUAUUCUAGAGGUGGAAAGAACUGGUGCCCGACGAUGACCUUCUUGCUAAUAAAUGUCUUUGGCUACGCUUAUUGUAGAGUUGUUGUUGGUUUCCGUUGGUGUUUCGACUUUUCUUUUGUAGUUUGUACUCCGAUUUGGCAAUUGUUUAGUUUUUUUCCUAGGGUUCCUACAUGGUACAUCUAUGUUCCUCGGUUUUAUUCGUUUUGAUCUGUUACUAAACAGGUACAGGAAAAAGUUUUUUAACCACUAUUUUCAUUUGGUUCACCUCUGUUUUUUGUAUUUUGGAACGUUUGGAAAUUUAAGAAAUUUUGCUAUUGUAUAUUUAUUUCACAUGUCAUUGCUUUAACCCUUGUUUAUGCAAUUUCUACAUAUUUAACAUGUUGGGGUUUCUGUUCCUCAAGUUAAAUCCAUGGAUCAUGAUUAGGUUUAUGCUUCAAAAAGGGCUUCUUCUUUCUGGCAUUCUAUUUAAUUGUUUGUUGCUUAUUUGAUUUGUGCUUUUACAAGGAGUAGCCAAUGGAUGCAUUAGGUUGGUUUGUGUUGGAGAUGGAGGUUGAAGGCUCACCAAUCCAUCCAUCAGCCGCCCAUGUCAAAUUGUCAAUUAUGUGACUGAUGAUUUAAGUUGAGGAGAAAGAGGGAACAUCUCCAUCUUUGGGCUUAGAGGUAGGUUCGUGGUUGGUGUGUUGAAGUCUUGCAUAAGUAUUGGAGGCAAACCCAUGGAGAGAAGCUUCAAGCUCGUAUAUGUGCUGACCCAUAGGGAAAACCAGUUAUGCACAAUGAAAACAAGAAGAAGCCGCAGGCUUAAUUUGGUUUUGUGAGUUGUGUUUUCCUGAACAAAUCCUAUCUUAUUCAUAGCUGAUGUUUUCAUUUUCUAUAGUGAAGUUGAAAGAGAGCUUGGGCUCUUGUUUUCCAAAGGAGGAAAAUGGAGAUCUGAAAUAGGAAAUAAGACUAAGCAAUCAAGAACUGGGACAAGGUUUCAGAUGCUUGUGGAGGAUAUCAGGGAGGGAGUGCUUGUAUUCGAAGAUGAGUAUGAGGCGGUCAAAUAUUGUGACCUACUACAGGGAGGAGGUCAAGGCAGUCACAACAUGUUCCAAUUACACGGUGGGAUGUUGCUGUGAGGUCGGUGUGAGGAGCGCUCUCUGAGAUGUGGCCAUUAGAUUAUAUUUGCUAAUUAAAUUAAUACUAAAAAAUUGUAGAAAAGAAUCCAAUGCGAUGUUGAUUAUAAUAUAUUGUUUAAGAUUUUUAUUACAAAUAAACUCCCAACUUGUCA